UACAGAGGGUGCAAGCGUUAAUCGGAAUGACUGGGCGUAAAGGGCGCGUAGGUGGCUGAUUAAGUUGGAUGUGAAAUCCCUGGGCUUAACCUAGGAACUGCAUUCAAUACUGGUCAACUUGAGUAUGGGAGAGGGUAGUGGAAUUUCCGGUGUAGCGGUGAAAUGCGUAGGUAUCGGAAGGAACAUCAGUGGCGAAGGCGACUGCCUGGCCCAAUACUGACACUGAGGCGCGAAAGCGUGGGUAGCGAACAGG
rnacentral:rRNA from 1 species